GGCCGCGAAUUCGCCCUUAGGGUUUGAUUAUGGCUCAGAUUGAACGCUGGCGGCAGGCCUAACACAUGCAAGUCGAGCGGUAACAGGGGAAGCUUGCUUCCCGCUGACGAGCGGCGGACGGGUGAGUAAUGUAUGGGGAUCUGCCCGAUAGAGGGGGAUAACUACUGGAAACGGUAGCUAAUACCGCAUAAUCUCUAAGGAGCAAAGCAGGGGAACUUCGGUCCUUGCGCUAUCGGAUGAACCCAUAUGGGAUUAGCUAGUAGGUGAGG
rnacentral:rRNA from 1 species